GAGGGUAUAGUUUAGUGGUUUGAGUGUGUGCUUAGCAAGCACGAGAUCCUGGGUUCUAUCCUCAGUACUGCCA
rnacentral:tRNA from 1 species